rnacentral:rRNA from 1 species
UCCUACGGGAGGCAGCAGUGGGGAAUUUUGGACAAUGGGGGAAACCCUGAUCCAGCCAUCCCGCGUGUGCGAUGAAGGCCUUCGGGUUGUAAAGCACUUUUGGCAGGAAAGAAACGUCAUGGGUUAAUACCCCGUGAAACUGACGGUACCUGCAGAAUAAGCACCGGCUAACUACGUGCCAGCACCCGCGGUAAUA